rnacentral:rRNA from 1 species
UACGUAGGGAGCAAGCGUUGUCCGGAAUCAUUGGGCGUAAAGCGCACGUAGGCGGCCUCGCAAGUCUGAUGUGAAAUCCCUCGGCUCAACCGAGGACGUGCAUCGGAAACUGCGGGGCUUGAGUACUGAAGAGGAUCGCGGAAUUCCCGGUGUAGAGGUGAAAUUCGUAGAUAUCGGGAGGAACACCAGUGGCGAAGGCGGCGAUCUGGGCAGAUACUGACGCUGAGGUGCGAAAGCGUGGGGAGCAAACAGG